AUACGUAGGUGACAAGCGUUAUCCGGAUUUACUGGGCGUAAAGGGCGUGUAGGCGGUCUUGCAAGUCAGAAGUGAAAUUCCUGAGCUCAACUCGGGCGCUGCUUCUGAAACUGCAGGACUUGAGUGCUGGAGGGGAUAGCGGAAUUCCUAGUGGAGCGGUAAAAUGCGCAGAUAUUAGGAAGAACACCGGUGGCGAAGGCGGCUAUAUGGACAGUAACUGACGCUGAGGCGCGAAAGCGUGGGGAGCAAACAGGAUUAGAUACCCUGGUAGUCCACGCUGUAAACGAUGAAUACUAGGUGUAGGGGGUAUCGACUCCCUCUGUGCCGCAGUUAACACAAUAAGUAUUCCGCCUGGGGAGUACGGCCGCAAGGUUGAAACUCAAAUGAAUUGACGGGG
rnacentral:rRNA from 1 species